CCUACGGGAGGCAGCAGUUAGGAAUAUUGGGCAAUGGACGAAAGCCUGACCCAGCAACGCCGCGUGAAGGAUGAAGGUCUUCGGAUUGUAAACCUCUGAUCUAGGGGAAAAAGAAAGUGCUGGUACCCUAGGAGAAAGUUACGGCUAACUACGGGACAGCAUCCGCGGUAAUACGUAGGUGGCAAGCGUUGUCUGGAAUGACUGGGGGUAAAGGGAGGGUUGGUUGUUGUUUAAGUUAAAUGGGAAAGCCCGUGGCUCAAACACGGAACUGCAUUUAAUACUGGACAACUAGAGUGCAGGAGGGGUAAGCGGAAUGCCAAGUGUAGCGGUGGAAUGCGUAGAUAUUACGAAGAACACCAGUGGCGAAGGCGGCUUACUGGACUGUAACUGACGCUGAGGCACGAAAGCGUGGGGAGCAAACAGGAUUAGAUACCCUUGUAGUC
rnacentral:rRNA from 1 species